GCACGGUUGGGUUUCGGCCUGGUAGUGGCGGACGGGUGAGUAACGCGUAGGUAUUUAUCCUUGGGUGGGGGAUAACCGUGGGAAACUGCGGCUAAUACCGCAUGACGCCUGAGGCUCAAAGGCAGUGAUGUUGCCUGGGGAGGAGCCUGCGUACGAUUAGCUAGUUGGUGGGGUAAAGGCCUACCAAGGCGACGAUCGUUAGCUGGUCUGAGAGGAUGAUCAGCCACACUGGAACUGAGACACGGUCCAGACUCCUACGGGAGGCAGCAGUGGGGAAUAUUGGACAAUGGGGGAAACCCUGAUCCAGCAAUGCCGCGUGGGUGAAGAAGGUCUUCGGAUUGUAAAGCCCUUUCGGCGGGGACGAUGAUGACGGUACCCGCAGAAGAAGCUCCGGCUAACUUCGUGC
rnacentral:rRNA from 1 species